CUCUCUCCCUCUCAUUAAAUUCAUCAUCAAUUUGGGUUGUUCAAGCUAAUUUAAUACAAGAUUGAGCUUCAUCAUCAUCUCAUCUUAAUUAUAUCAUAAAUUUGAAGUCACAUUACAAGAAAUAAUCAAUUCGGGUCAAUUUUCGGAUUCAAGAACUUUUGAUGAUUUUGGUGGUGGACGUGAAGUGAACGUAAGAUGACAUUGACUCGACUUUAUAUCAUCUUAACUUUUUAUUGCCAAUCAAGGUAAUCAGGUGAACCCAUGACGAGAUGUUUGAUUGAUGACUAGAUAUGGACCGGGGUAUGGACUUAUAGGAUCCCCGAUUCAUUGCCCAUUUUUACAUUAUGCUUAGGAUCAUUUGCCAUCUCUUAAUGAUUGUUUUGUAAACUGUGAUAUUCACUUGCUCCUUAUGCAUUUUGUACUUGAAUUCAUGUUAUUUAUGGAUUCACCGAAUUCACUUACUUU